GUCCACGCAGUAAACGAUGAAUGCCGGCUGUCCGGCCCGACUGGGGGCUGGGUGGCGAAGCGAAAGCGAUAAGCAUUCCACCUGGGGAGUACGCCGGCAACGGUGAAACUCAAAGGAAUUGACGGGGGCCCCGCACAAGCGGAGGAACAUGUGGUUUAAUUCGAUGAUACGCGAGGAACCUUACCCGGGCUCAAACGGCGGACGACGGGAUCAGAGACGGUCCUUUCCACGGACGUCCGCCGAGGUGCUGCAUGGUUGUCGU
rnacentral:rRNA from 1 species